UACGGAGGGUGCGAGCGUUAAUCGGAAUUACUGGGCGUAAAGCGCACGUAGGUGGCUUUGCAAGUCGGUUGUGAAAUCCCCGGGCUUAACCUGGGAACUGCAGUCGAGACUGCUUUGCUUGAGUAUGGGAGAGGGAGGUGGAAUUUCCGGUGUAGCGGUGAAAUGCGUAGAUAUCGGAAGGAACAUCAGUGGCGAAGGCGACCUCCUGGACCAAUACUGACACUCAAGUGCGAAAGCGUGGGGAGCAAACAGG
rnacentral:rRNA from 1 species